UACGAAGGUCCCAAGCGUUAUCCGGAUUUAUUGGGUUUAAAGGGUGCGUAGGCGGGCUAUUAAGUCAGUGGUGAAAUCCCUCAGCUUAACUGGGGAACUGCGUCUGAGACUGGUGGGCUUGAGUGCAGGAGAGGAACGCGGAAUUCCAGGUGUAGCGGUGAAAUGCGUAGAUAUCUGGAGGAACACCGGUGGCGAAGGCGGCAUCCUGGACCGGCAUUGACGCUGAGGCGCGAAAGCCAGGGGAGCAAACGGG
rnacentral:rRNA from 1 species